rnacentral:rRNA from 1 species
GAUGAACGCUGGCGGCGUGCCUAAUACAUGCAAGUCGAGCGAACGGACGAGAAGCUUGCUUUUCUGAUGUUAGCGGCGGACGGGUGAGUAACACGUGGAUAACCUACCUAUAAGACUGGGAUAACUUCGGGAAACCGGAGCUAAUACCGGAUAAUAUUUUGAACCGCAUGGUUCAAAAGUGAAAGACGGUCUUGCUGUCACUUAUAGAUGGAUCCGCGCUGCAUUAGCUAGUUGGUAAGGUAACGGCUUACCAAGGCAACGAUGCAUAGCCGACCUGAGAGGGUGAUCCGCCACACCUGAACUGAGACACGGUCCAGACCCCUAAGGGAGGCAGCAGUAGGGAAUCUUCCGCAAUGGGCGAAAGCCUGACGGAGCAACGCCGCGUGAGUGAUGAAGGUCUUCGGAUCGUAAAACUCUGUUAUUAGGGAAGAACAUAUGUGUAAGUAACUGUGCACAUCUUGACGGUACCUAAUCAGAAAGCCACGGCUAACUACGUG